GAUGAACGCUGGCGGCGUGCCUAAUACAUGCAAGUCGAGCGAACGGACGAGAAGCUUGCUUCUCUGAUGUUAGCGGCGGACGGGUGAGUAACACGUGGAUAACCUACCUAUAAGACUGGGAUAACUUCGGGAAACCGUAGCUAAUACCGGAUAAUAUUUUGAACCGCAUGGUUCAAAAGUGAAAGACGGUCUUGCUGUCACUUAUAGAUGGAUCCGCGCUGCAUUAGCUAGUUGGUAAGGUAACGGCUUACCAAGGCAACGAUGCAUAGCCGACCUGAGAGGGUGAUCGGCCACACUGGAACUGAGACACGGUCCAGACUCCUACGGGAGGCAGCAGUAGGGAAUCUUCCGCAAUGGGCGAAAGCCUGACGGAGCAACGCCGCGUGAGUGAUGAAGGUCUUCGGAUCGUAAAACUCUGUUAUUAGGGAAGAACAUAUGUGUAAGUAACUGUGCACAUCUUGACGGUACCUAAUCAGAAAGCCACGGCUAACUACGUGCCAGCAGCCGCGGUAAUACGUAGGUGGCAAGCGUUAUCCGGAAUUAUUGGGCGUAAAGCGCGCGUAGGCGGUUUUUUAAGUCUGAUGUGAAAGCCCACGGCUCAACCGUGGAGGGUCAUUGGAAACUGGAAAACUUGAGUGCAGAAGAGGAAAGUGGAAUUCCAUGUGUAGCGGUGAAAUGCGCAGAGAUAUGGAGGAACACCAGUGGCGAAGGCGACUUUCUGGUCUGUAACUGACGCUGAUGUGCGAAAGCGUGGGGAUCAAACAGGAUUAGAUACCCUGGUAGUCCACGCCGUAAACGAUGAGUGCUAAGUGUUAGGGGGUUUCCGCCCCUUAGUGCUGCAGCUAACGCAUUAAGCACUCCGCCUGGGGAGUACGACCGCAAGGUUGAAACUCAAAGGAAUUGACGGGGACCCGCACAAGCGGUGGAGCAUGUGGUUUAAUUCGAAGCAACGCGAAGAACCUUACCAAAUCUUGACAUCCUUUGACAACUCUAGAGAUAGAGCCUUCCCCUUCGGGGGACAAAGUGACAGGUGGUGCAUGGUUGUCGUCAGCUCGUGUCGCGAGAUGUUGGGUUAAGUCCCGCAACGAGCGCAACCCUUAAGCUUAGUUGCCAUCAUUAAGUUGGGCACUCUAAGUUGACUGCCGGUGACAAACCGGAGGAAGGUGGGGAUGACGUCAAAUCAUCAUGCCCCUUAUGAUUUGGGCUACACACGUGCUACAAUGGACAAUACAAAGGGCAGCGAAACCGCGAGGUCAAGCAAAUCCCAUAAAGUUGUUCUCAGUUCGGAUUGUAGUCUGCAACUCGACUACAUGAAGCUGGAAUCGCUAGUAAUCGUAGAUCAGCAUGCUACGGUGAAUACGUUCCCGGGUCU
rnacentral:rRNA from 1 species